rnacentral:rRNA from 1 species
UACAGAGGGGGCAAGCGUUGUCCGGACUUACUGGGCGUAAAGGGUGCGCAGGCGGUGACGUGCGUCCGCGCUGAAAUCAUGCGGCUUAACCGCGUGGCGCGUGCGGAUACGACGUGACUAGAGGCUCUGAGAGGGUGGCGGAACUCCUGGUGUAGUGGUGAAAUGCGUAGAGAUCAGGAAGAACACCCGUGGCGCAAGCGGCCACCUGGCAGAGUACUGACGCUGAGGCACGAAAGCGUGGGGAGUGAACCGG